rnacentral:rRNA from 1 species
UACGAAGGUCCCGAGCGUUGUUCGGAAUCACUGGGCGUAAAGGGUGCGCAGGCGGUUUUGUAAGACAGUCGUGAAAUCCCCGGGCUCAACCUGGGAAUGGCGAUUGUGACUGCAAGGCUGGAGUGCGGCAGAGGGGGAUGGAAUUCCGCGUGUAGCAGUGAAAUGCGUAGAUAUGCGGAGGAACACCGAUGGCGAAGGCAAUCCCCUGGGCCUGCACUGACGCUCAUGCACGAAAGCGUGGGGAGCAAACAGG